CCCUUAGAUGUUCUGGGCCGCACGCGCGCUACACUGACGGAUUCAACGAGCUUACAACCUUGGCCGAAAGGUCUGGGUAAUCUCCAAAUUUCGUCGUGAUGGGGAUAGAUUAUUGCAAUUAUUAAUCUUCAACGAGGAAUGCCUAGUAAGCGCAAGUCAUCAGCUUGCGUUGAUUACGUCCCUGCCCUUUGUACACACCGCCCGUCGCUCCUACCGAUUGAAUGGUCCGGUGAAGCGUUCGGACCGUGGCCUUUGGACGGUUCGCCGUCUGUUGGCUGCGGGAAGUUCGUUAAACCUUAUCAUUUAGAGGAAGGAGAAGUCGUAACA
rnacentral:rRNA from 1 species